GACGAACGCUGGCGGCGUGCUUAACACAUGCAAGUCGUACGGUAAGGCCCUUUCGGGGGUACACGAGUGGCGAACGGGUGAGUAACACGUGAGUAACCUGCCCACAACUUUGGGAUAACGCUAGGAAACUGGUGCUAAUACUGGAUAUGUGCUCCUGCUGCAUGGUGGGGGUUGGAAAGCUCCGGCGGUUGUGGAUGGACUCCCGGCCUAUCAGCUUGUUGGUGGGGUAGUGGCCUACCAAGGCGGCGACGGGUAGCCGGCCUGAGAGGGUGACCGGCCACAUUGGGACUGAGAUACGGCCCAGACUCCGACGGGAGGCAGCAGUGGGGAAUAUUGCACAAUGGGCGCAAGCCUGAUGCAGCAACGCCGCGUGCGGGAUGACGGCCUUCGGGUUGUAAACCGCUUUCAGCAGGGACGAAGCUUUUUGUGACGGUACCUGCAGAAGAAGCACCGGCUAACUGCGUG
rnacentral:rRNA from 1 species